GAUUGGAGUGGUGGAUGAGCACACACCUGAGAAUGGUGUUAGUGCUCUUUCAGAAGAAGUGUUGAAACCAGAUGUAAAAGCAGAGGAUAACACUGCUUCUGCUUCAGCCACAUCACAUCUUAAUGACCUAGAGGCGCCUCCAGUAGAAGAACCUGCCAAUGGAAAUAUAUCUCCUCUUUCACAGGAACCACUGGACCUGACAAUUUACAGUUCAGCUGCAGAAUUGGAGGUACUUGGCAUGGAGAGACUCAAG
rnacentral:misc_RNA from 1 species